AAAUAAUGUGAAAAAUAAAGCCAAGGUUGAAGGUUCAAUAUGCAAUGCAUAUUUAGUUAAAGAAGCUACAUCAUUUUGUGCACACUAUUUCAAGUUGCACAUUUUAACAAGGCAUAACAAAGUACCCCGAAAUGUUUAUGGAUGCCCAAGAUUGAAGUAUAUGAACAUCUAGGGAUGCUAUCUAUAUUCAAAUAAUCUGGAAAAUCUUUUGGUCAAGAGAAAUUCAGACGAUUAGAUGAUACAGAAUUUCAUUCAGCUUGCACCUAUAUUUUGUUAAAUUGCGAUGAAGUUAAACCAUAUAUUAAGUUAUUAAUGAUGCAGAUAUUAAAAUCAUUUACAUUUGAUGCUAGAUUAACUUUAAUAUUUUUUCCUUAAAAGAAUCUAUGAAGAUACCUUAAGGCAAAGUCAACCAUUUAUUCAAGAUAGCGACGUUGAUGCAAAACUUGAAAUGGAGUUUGCAUCUUGGUUUGAGAAAUACGUGAGUAAUAAUUUAUAUACAUUAUUUAUAUCCAUUAUUACAACCAAAUUUUCUUACAUAUCAAUUAAUUGCUUAUAAUUUGUCAAUAGGCACAUGAUCCUUCAUCAAACAUUACCAACCAAAUCGUUAAAGACCUUGCAAAAGGUCCGUUGCAUAUUGUUAAGUCCUUUCAUGGAUAUUAUGUUAAUGGAUACAAGUUUCACACUGAAGGAUAUGGUUCAAGUAGGUUUACAAUGAGUAAUGGAGUAUGCAUUAAGGGCUCUAGUUACAGUGCAAAUGAUCUUGACUAUUAUGG
rnacentral:misc_RNA from 1 species